CUAAUUUCGUCGCCGUUCUAUAC
rnacentral:snRNA from 1 species